GUCCACGCUGUAAACGAUGAGCACUAGGUGUGGGGGGGUUCAGUCCCUUCCGUGCCGCAGCUAACGCAUUAAGUGCUCCGCCUGGGGAGUACGGCCGCAAGGUUGAAACUCAAAGGAAUUGACGGGGGCCCGCACAAGCGGUGGAGCAUGUGGUUCAAUUCGAUGCAGAGCGAAGAACCUUACCUGGGCUUGACAUGCAGGAAGUAGAAACCGGAAACGGCGACGACCUGUUAAGUCAGGAACCUGCACAGGUGGUGCAUGGCUGUCGU
rnacentral:rRNA from 1 species